UACAGAGGUCCCAAGCGUUGUUCGGAUUCACUGGGCGUAAAGGGUGCGUAGGUGGUGAGGUAAGUCGGAUGUGAAAUCUCCGAGCUCAACUCGGAAAUGGCAUUGGAAACUACCUUGCUCGAGGGUUGGAGGGGGGACUGGAAUACUUGGUGUAGCAGUGAAAUGCGCAGAUAUCAGGAGGAACACCGGUGGCGAAGGCGGGUCUCUGGGCCGAUACUGACGCUGAGGCGCGACAGCGUGGGGAGCAAACAGG
rnacentral:rRNA from 1 species